rnacentral:rRNA from 1 species
UACGAAGGGGGCUAGCGUUGCUCGGAAUCACUGGGCGUAAAGGGCGCGUAGGCGGCGUUUUAAGUCGGGGGUGAAAGCCUGUGGCUCAACCACAGAAUGGCCUUCGAUACUGGGACGCUUGAGUAUGGUAGAGGUUGGUGGAACUGCGAGUGUAGAGGUGAAAUUCGUAGAUAUUCGCAAGAACACCGGUGGCGAAGGCGGCCAACUGGACCAUUACUGAGGCUGAGGCGCGAAAGCGUGGGGAGCAAACAGG